rnacentral:rRNA from 1 species
AUUGAACGCUGGCGGCAGGCCUAACACAUGCAAGUCGAGCGAGCGGCGGACGGGUGAGUAAUGCCUGGGAAUUUCCCAGUCGCGGGGGAUAACCGUUGGAAACGACUGCUAAAUCCGCAUACGGUUAGAUUGCCCAGGUGGGAUUAGCUAGUGGGUGAGGUAAAGGCUCACCAAGGCGACGAUCCCUAGCUGGUCUGAGAGGAUGAUCAGCCACACUGGAACUGAGACACGGCCCAGACUCCUACGUGAGGCAGCAGUGGAGAAUGUUGCACAAUGGGGGAAACCCUGAUGCAGCCAUGCCGCGUGUGGGAAGAAGGCCUUCGGGUUGUAAAGCACUUUCAGCGAGGAGGCGUUACUCGCAGAAGAAGCACCGGCUAACUCCGUGCCAGCAGCCGCGGUAAUAC